AUGUCCACUGCCAGUGAGGACAGACUGAUCUGAGACAUCCACACGGCCUGCUAACCACCAUUCUUGGAAACUUUAAGCAGCAGUUAGGCUUUAGGCUCCAGUUUUCAGCAACCUUGUAACAGAAAAAAAUGAAUUCAUUUCAUCGAUUGAGUAGAUGGAUAAACAUGAUGGGCAGCAUAUUAAUAAUUCUUGCAGGAUUCAGAUUGUUUGUACUGCCUGUGCACGGAUCCCAGGAGUUUAACUAUCAUUACGUAAAAGAACCGAUGAACUGGACAAAUGCACAGGCUUACUGCAAGAGUAACUUCACUGACUUGGUGACUAUUGCAGAUGAGAAAGAACUUCAGGAAAUUCUGAACAAUCUUACAAGAGAAAAUGUCUCUGAUGCAGAAAUCUGGAUUGGUCUAAAAGAUAUAAAUAUGAAUAAUGGAACUUGGAGCAACGGUGAAACAUCUACCUAUCGAAAGUGGAAUGCUGGGGAACCAAACAAUAGAAUGUUAGCCUGUGGCAGCAUGUACUACCACAGAAAUGAAGUAAACCACAAUGGCACCUGGAAUGACUGUGGCUGUCAAAACCCUCAGUCAUUCAUCUGCUAUGCAGUAAAAAGAAAGUUCCAUGCAGUGAACACCAGUAUGUCUUGGCUCUCAGCUCUUGAGCACUGCAAUUCCAAUUACAAUGGCAUGGCCACCAUCCGAAAUGAAAGAGAAGAGUGGCAUUUGCUGAAGUCCAUCAAUGAAACCAACAUACAGGAGAAAGUGUGGAUUGGGAUGAGGAGCUCCAGGGUCUUUGGAUUCUGGUUCUGGAUGAACGAUGACCCGGUCACUUACGAAAACUGGGUAAAUGACUCCUCAGUGACCCUUCAAGAUAACAGGCACUGUGCCAUCCUGGAUCUAAAUCAGACGGAAGUGGGUCAAGCAGGACUGUGCAGGACCAGCCCAAUUUGUCUGCUACAGAGGUGAGUAAGUGGAUGAUGUGAAUGAUAGCACAUUCUUAGAAGGCAUGAAACCCAUUUUUGAAAUGCACACAAUGUCUACACAAGCUUCUAAAUUUAGCCUCAGAGUGCACUGACCAGCCAUCAUGGCAAUUCUGCUGAUGAAGUUUGGAGGUAUAAUCUGCCCCUGCAUACUGCACAGCUUUGCUCAGGGCGCUUGUACCUGUGGUUCUCCUACACAUCUACAGUGAAAAAAUGAAUCAUCAAAGAGCUACUUAACAUGACUCAAGUCUCCUCAUGUGGUGUCUAUUCUAUAUUCAGGAAUUAGAAGCAUAAAGACCUAAAUCUUAAUAAAUAACAAAUAGACUGAAACAUCCAACAAACCUCCCCUGCUAAUUUCACUCUUCACUGGCUUCCCUUCUCUCCUGGUGCAAUAUAUUCAUGAAAGUUACAUUUUGUUCUCGAAAUUCAUUCACCUUUAAAAUCCCUCAAAUCUUUACUUUUCUGCACCAAAAUGGGUCUCUCCUCUGAUUCAUUUUGCCACCUUUGACAUUUUCAAGUCCAGUUUAGUUCAGUUCAAUCUGAUUUUUAUUUGUAUAGCGCUCUUCACUGACUGAAGAUUCAGAGCACUGAAACAAGUUAACAGAUAACAUAACAGUGCAAAUGUUACAAGCUGCAUAAUGAACAUACAUAAAAAUACAGAAGGAGUUAAAAUGCAGUAAAACAAAGCAACUUCAAAUAGAUUAACAUUAACAUGUCCAAACCUUACAACUCCAUUAAUGUUAUCAUUGAGAAAUGUCCAGCUGACAACAGAGGAGAUGAACAAAAACUUCAGCCAGCAACAUCCAUGGAGAAAAUGAACUACAUGGGAUUAACAGACAGUUAUAACAGAGAAAGUCUGCCACAGUCACAGUCCUGGCUGCCCGUUUCCUCCUGUUGUGGUGUGAAAUUUAGCAUAUAAGUUGAUAAA